AUUGAACGCUGGCGGCAGGCCUAACACAUGCAAGUCGAGCGGAUGAAGGGAGCUUGCUCCUGGAUUCAGCGGCGGACGGGUGAGUAAUGCCUAGGAAUCUGCCUGGUAGUGGGGGAUAACGUCCGGAAACGGGCGCUAAUACCGCAUACGUCCUGAGGGAGAAAGUGGGGGAUCUUCGGACCUCACGCUAUCAGAUGAGCCUAGGUCGGAUUAGCUAGGUGGUGGGGUAAAGGCCUACCAAGGCGACGAUCCGUAACUGGUCUGAGAGGAUGAUCAGUCACCCUGGAACUGAGACACGGUCCAGACUCCUACGGGAGGCAGCAGUGGGGAAUAUUGGACGAUGGGCGAAAGCCUGAUCCAGCCCUGCCGCGUGUGUGAAGAAGGUCUUCGGAUUGUAAAGCACUUUAAGUUGGGAGGAAGGGCAGUAAGUUAAUACCUUGCUGUUUUGACGUUACCAACAGAAUAAGCACCGGCUAACUUCGUG
rnacentral:rRNA from 1 species